GACGAACGCUGGCGGCGCGCUUAACACAUGCAAGUCGAACGGAAAGGCCUGCUUUCCCUUGUGGAUUGCGGGUACUCGAGUGGCGAACGGGUGAGUAACACGUGAGUGAUCUGCCCCCAACUUGGGUAUAAGCCUGGGAAACUGGGUCUAAUUCCCGAUAGGACUGCAGGGUGGUGCCUGUGGUGGAAAACGAUUUUCUUGUGGUUGGGGAUGAGCUCGCGGCCUAUCAGCUUGUUGGUGGGGUAAUGGCCUACCAAGGCGGCGACGGGUAGCCGGCCUGAGAGGGUGGACGGCCACAUUGGGACUGAGAUACGGCCCAGACUCCUACGGGAGGCAGCAGUGGGGAAUAUUGCACAAUGGGCGGAAGCCUGAUGCAGCGACGCCGCGUGGGGGAUGACGGCCUUCGGGUUGUAAACUCCUUUCGACCGCGAGGAAGCCACCUGGUUGGAAGGGUGGUGACGGUAGUGGUAGAAGAAGCACCGGCUAACUACGUG
rnacentral:rRNA from 1 species